GCAGAACUUUGUCACCUUCCCUGCAGCUGCUAUACGCACUUCGGCUUCAUUAUCACGAAGAAGCCGUACAUAUGCAGGCACCAAAUCCGCCCUAGUAGGUUCGGGGCCAACAGCUUCACAAAGCUCGUAUAACUGAUUUGCUACCAUAUAACGAACACGCCAGGAUUUAUCCUGCGAGAAAUUAACAAUGACGGGAAGAAUAUGU
rnacentral:misc_RNA from 1 species